rnacentral:rRNA from 1 species
UUCUUAAUAGGAUGUCCACUUAACUUGGAGUCCGAACUCUCACUUUCUAACCCUGUGCAUUUGUUUGGGAUAGUAGCCUCUCGGGGUGAACUCCUAUUCACUUAUAAACACAAAGUCUAUGAAUGUAUUUAAUUUAUAACAAAAUAAAACUUUCAACAACGGAUCUCUUGGCUCUCGCAUCGAUGAAGAACGCAGCGAAAUGCGAUAAGUAAUGUGAAUUGCAGAAUUCAGUGAAUCAUCGAAUCUUUGAACGCACCUUGCGCUCCAUGGUAUUCCGUGGAGCAUGCCUGUUUGAGUGUCAUGAAUACUUCAACCCUCCUCUUUUCUAGUGAAAGAGAAGGUGCUUGGUUUCUGAGCGUUUUGCUGGCCUCACGGUCGAGCUCGCUCGUAAUGCAUUAGCAUCCGCAAUCGAACUUCGGAUUGACUUGGCGUAAUAGACUAUUCGCUGAGGAAUUCUAAUCUUCGGAUUAGAGCCGGGUUAGGUUAAAGGAAGCUUCUAAUCCUAAUGUCUAUAUUUUAAGAUUAGAUCUCAAAUCAGGUAGGACUACCCGCUGAACUUAAGCAUAUCAAUAGCCCGGAAGGAA